rnacentral:rRNA from 1 species
CCUACGGGUGGCUGCAGUGGGGAAUAUUGCACAAUGGGGGAAACCCUGAUGCAGCGACGCCGCGUGAGCGAUGAAGUACCUCGGUGUGUAAAGCUCUAUCAGCAGGGAAGAAAAUGACGGUACCUGACCAAGAAGCCCCGGCUAACUCCGUGCCAGCAGCCGCGGUAAUACGUAGGGGGCAAGCGUUAUCCGGAUUUACUGGGUGUAAAGGGGGCGUAGACGGCUGUGCAAGCCAGAUGUGAAAGCCCGGGGCUCAACCCCGGGACUGCAUUUGGAACCGUGUGGCUGGAGUGUCGGUGAGGCAGGCGGAAUUCCUGGUGUAGCGGUGAAAUGCGUAGAUAUUAGGAGGAACACCGGUGGCGAAGGCGGCCUGCUGGAC